rnacentral:rRNA from 1 species
CCCGCUGAACUUAAGCAUAUCAAUAAGCGGAGGAAAAGAAACUAACAAGGAUUCCCCUAGUAACUGCGAGUGAAGCGGGAAAAGCUCAAAUUUAAAAUCUGGCGGUCUCUGACUGUCCGAGUUGUAAACUAGAGAAGUGUUAUCCGUGCUGGACCAUGUAUAAGUCUCCUGGAACGGAGCGUCAUAGAGGGUGAGAAUCCCGUCUUUGACAUGGACUACCAGUGCAUUGUGAUAUGCUCUCAAAGAGUCGAGUUGUUUGGGAAUGCAGCUCAAAAUGGGUGGUAAAUUCCAUCUAAAGCUAAAUAUUGGCGAGAGACCGAUAGCGAACAAGUACCGUGAGGGAAAGAUGAAAAGAACUUUGGAAAGAGAGUUAAACAGUACGUGAAAUUGUUGAAAGGGAAACGCUUGAAGUCAGUCACAUUGGCUGGAGAUCAACCUUGCUUUUGGAAGGUGUACUCUCUGGUUGAUGGGUCAGCAUCAAUUUUGACCAUUGGAAAAAGGUUAGGGGAAUGUGGCAUCCUUGGAUGUGUUAUAGCCCUUGAUUGUAUACAGUGGUUGGGAUUGAGGAACUCAGCACGCCGCAAGGCCGGGUUUUACCACGUUCGUGCUUAGGAUGCUGGCAUAAUGGCUUUAAUCGACCCGUCUUGAAACACGG